rnacentral:rRNA from 1 species
AAUCAACGCUGGCGGCGUGCCUCAGACAUGCAAGUCGAACGAUUAAAAGCUCUCUUCGGGAGAGUGUAUAGAGUGGCGCACGGGUGAGUAACACGUAAGUAAUCUACCCUCGAGUGGGGAAUAACAACCGGAAACGGUUGCUAAUACCGCAUAAUGCAGCGGCACCGCAAGGUGACAGUUGUUAAAGAUUUAUCGCUUGAGGAGGAGCUUGCGGCAGAUUAGCUAGUUGGUAGGGUAACGGCUUACCAAGGCUACGAUCUGUAACCGGUCUAAGAGGACGGUCGGUCACACUGACACUGAAUAACGGGUCAGACUCCUACGGGAGGCAGCAGUCGGGAAUUUUGGGCAAUGGGCGAAAGCCUGACCCAGCAACGCCGCGUGAAGGAUGAAGUAUUUCGGUAUGUAAACUUCGAAAGAAUAGGAAGAAUUAAUGACGGUACUAUUUAUAAGGUCCGGCUAACUACGUG